UAUUUUGCAAAUUUUACCCUUUGAGUUUUGCAAAUUUAUAGGAAGGAAAAUGCUUUUGUCACUGUGCAUUACAGAGCUGUUACUGAAGCAGAAGAAGAAGCCAUGGCUAAACCCUAAACCCUAAUCAUACUCAUCACCAAAACCUCAUACUCAGCUCAGUUUUAAUAACAGGCACCUGACGUGGAUGGAAGUCGGGGCGGUACAAUUCGGUACAUGAACAAUCCUCACGUGAAGCGUACGAAAGUCUUUGAACCUAAUGAUCUCAAUAGUUCGAGAAAUUUUUUUAACGGCAUGAAAAGUUCAAGGAUAUUCAAUAGUGCAGUUGUUGACAAAGUGAUGAAUGCCAACACCAAAUCUUUAUAGGUGGCUAUGUAAAUCUUCACAGGUGAAUUGAAAGGAUCGUUCACUACAUCAGUAGUAACUCAAAAUCGAAACAAAUUUAUUUUUGAAUUUAGACAAGUAUGGCAUGGGAAAGUGUAGGUUCAUUCUUAGAUUCAAUAUUUACGAAAAUAACAACUGAGGGUGAAAAUGUAGAGUUUUUUUGUUUUUUUUUAUACAGUUGUAUGGUCUAGAAUGGGUGUAAAUUUACUUACAAAAAAAGGUAAAAAGAAAUCUCAUAUCGAACCUAGGGGUGCAAUGAAGACUCCCUUCCUUCGGUGUUUCUUCUUCGUUGACAGCGAUUGCGAUGCCGGAGUUGUGAAACUCCAAAGCUAACCUCAACCUCCCCAAACAACAGCUUCAGCCUCCACUGGCGCCGAAAGCUCAGGCUAUAUCUCCGUCGGUGGCAUUCCAGUGUCAAGCCAUGAGCAUAUGUUAACGAAAAAGAGCACACAAUUGAUCAUAAUUUACAAGACAAAUGCAGACUUCAGUUCAAAGCACCUGACGUCCAGUCGAAGCUGUGUCUAUUCUUCUCCUUCGUUGCGACACUCUGUCACCGUAGUCUAACUCUGUUCCCGAGUCAAAUCCAUCUACCAUGCUUAGUUUGGUGGUGUGUACAGAGGACGACUCAACUCUUUGGGUGUAAUGAUACUUUUAUAACAAACACGAAAAGGAGACCUCUUAAGGAGUUGGGGUCUCCUUAUCGUGGCCACUGCUGCCAACAAGAGCCAUCCACCCCCAAUAUCUUUAUUGGGGGAGGACUCUAUUGUUCGUUUGUUUUUAUUCCCCGAGAAUUGAACUAUGCUGCCCAUAAUAUUGUGGGACGGGUUUCGUUACUUGAUAUGUUUGGUGAUAUUCCUACUGAGAUUUUGUGUAAAGACCGAGCUUGGUCUCCAUAAUUUUAUGGAAUGAAUGAAAUUUCUGGAUGGUUGGGUUUUGUGGUUUGAAUUUGUACUUAUGAGCUAAUCAACAAUUUAUUCACUAUAUAGUUUCAUUUUGAUGUA